UAGGGAAUCUUCCACAAUGGGCGCAAGCCUGAUGGAGCAACACCGCGUGAGUGAAGAAGGGUUUCGGCUCGUAAAGCUCUGUUGUUAAAGAAGAACACGUAUGAGAGUAACUGUUCAUUCGAUGACGGUAUCUAACCAGCAAGUCACGGCUAACUACGUGCCAA
rnacentral:rRNA from 1 species